GACGCGGUCCCUCUGGCCGAGGGCACUGGUCUGCAACACCGGUCGAGGUGGGUUCGAUUCCCACCCGCGUCU
rnacentral:tRNA from 1 species